rnacentral:piRNA from 1 species
UUUCACAAUUCUUGGUACCUAAC